GGAACGUGAACGGUGCUAAAAUGUUCAUAGUGGAAAACCAGAGAAUUAAGAGCUCAUUUACUCAGUUUCUGAAAUAGUCUGCUCAACGCAGCGUGCUUACAGAUGGUUGGUUAACGUUUGCCGUCUGAUAAAUUCUAAACUGCGUUGUGCGUUAAAUUCCUGACCAGGAGAUACGUACGACUACCACCGGUAGCCAGGGAAACUGGUUGGAUUUGACACUUGUAUCGGCCCGGGACUGCCACGGAGAAGGCACCUACUUUAUUCGUCUGCGGCAAGGUGAGGCAGACUGAUCCACUGGAGAGCACCUUUUCGGGAGGUAGACAAGGACAGAGAGGUGGUGCACGUCUCAGAGGCUUUGAGACCCAGGGCUAGCCGAGCUAGUGGGUUGCUGCCAAAAACCAACAUGGAGAGAGCCUGAAAACAGUUUGCCUGUGUGGCAGCAUCACAUCUUCAGACCCAGGAAAAUGGCACGUCUGGGAGGCAGUCAAAACCAGAAAGCUGCAUGCUUGGGGGUCAGUCACUUACAUUAAACAGCACAGUGGCAGGCCUGAAUGGUUUGGGGAACUUAAGAGUAGCGCGCUGCAUUAGGGGCUGAGAUGGACUAAUAAGGGAGCCUGGGUUGCAUCAUCGGUCAAUAAUAGCUCGCCACGAGGAAAGGGCUGUAAGAAGAACAGUAAGACCCAGCAGAGCGAGGGUGAUCAGAACAAUCCACAGUAUCUUUGAUGAAGGGCCAGGAGUUGAUCUACACUGCCAUGCUCAUCAAUGGGGCGCUGGCAAAGACCUUACCUCCAGCCUCACCUCUUGCCCGCUCACCAACGGUCGUCGACGGGGGGACCAGAUUUUGAUGCAUCUAUGGAGCCAGCACUUGGAGACUUGCAAGAUGAUGUGAUAACGUCCAGACUGACAGGCGGUCUUGAUACUGAUGUCUCUAAAUGGAGAGUCCUGGCACCCGGCAUAAACAUUUUACUAGACACAACUUACUUGUAUUGUCUUUUUGGAUUUUUGAGCUACCCAAGUUCCCAACAGCAUUUGGCAAUUACACUGCUACAGUUAGGCCCUAAUGCUUAGGCUACACACGAAUGCCAGAUAAAAAUAAUGAAAGAAAAACCUCAAUGUAGCCUAUAUGAAUUGCACAAGACUUAUACAUUUAUGGAUUUUUAAUUGUUUUAUUUUUAUUCAACCCGCCUGACACCCACCUGUCCUUCAUCCACACAAUAUUUCAUGACCUUAAACCCGCCCGCCCGCAGGUAUUAUAAAUCAACAGGCGUCCAAAUUGACCGUGAGAAAAAAUAAUCCCAUUGGAAAAAAAGUUAUUUUUAUUCACUGAUGGAAAUACCAGUCGAUGGAAAUACAUUUGACUGUCAAACUUAUCGGUCUAUAGGUCCAUUUGCAUAAUUUUGUGGAAUUAGAUUGGCGCCUGUGUAUUUUCAUUAGUCUUCAUGUAUCUUAUUUAUCACACAUGCAUAACAUACAGAGAGAGCCUAUUUUGAGCAGAAUAUAACCUCAGACAGCGCUAGAGAUGCUGCUGCAGCUCCUCAGCUCAUUGCUGCUAGAGUGAAACGUGUUUUAUAAGCCCAGUCAUUGUGCAACAAUUCUAAAUAAAAACACAUUUUAAUUUCUCAAUUGGUAAUUGAAGCACACCUCCCAUUUGCCAUCUAAUUGCAUAGGCAACGGUAGGCAGGCUAUCAGCGUGUCUCCCACCACUUUGCAAUGUGAGCUGGAGGCAGUAGGCUAUGCAUUUUGAAAACAUAUACUUAAUUGUUUGAAACCUGAACGUUUUACUUCAUAUUAUGAGGCAUGUCUUACCUUGCUUCAGUGUAUCGGCAAAAUCCGACCAUAGAAACAUGGAGGCAAUUAUUUUUUAAAGACUUCAUAUCUAUACCAUUGAAACCAGCAUUUCUCUCCUGUUCUUUUUUCCAUUGUCCAGAAGCCAAAGGCACAAUCCUAGUCAUAUUAGCAACCCAUCAUAGUUGUUGCAUCUUUAGAUUCCCCCUCUUUCUACGUUUCUAACGGAGAAACUCAUCUCUGUCACAUAUGGAACCGCUCGCAUCAGGUGAGCUGUUUAGAAUGGUGUUUUCCCGCAAAUUGCAUUUUGCCAAAUGUUCGAAAAUUGCGUUUUAUUCGCUGCUUCAUUACAGAAGUUACAUGUUCUGUUAAGAUUAAUUACCAUCAUCUAAAUGUCAUUCUGAGCACCGUCGGAGGACGCCCUAAUGGGUUACCCACGCAACGAAUAUGGGUUCGGUAAAUUUCUCAAAUUAAUGGUCAAUUAAAAUCUUUCUGGUCACAUAGUCCG